CAAGCGGUGGAUGAUGUGGAUUAAUUCGAUGCAACGCGAAGAACCUUACACCCUUGACAUGUCCGGAACUUGCCAGAGAUGGCUUGGGUGCCCGAAAGGGAAUCGGAACACAGGUGCCGCAUGGCUGUCGUCAGCUCGUGUCGUGAGAUGUUGGGUUAAGUCCCGCAACGAGCGCAACCCUUAUCAUUAGUUGCUACGCAAGGGCACUCUAAUGAGACUGCCGGUGACAAACCGGAGGAAGGUGGGGAUGACGUCAAGUCCUCAUGGCCCUUAUGGGUAGGGCUUCACACGUCAUACAAUGGUCGGUACAGAGGGUUGCCAAGCCGCGAGGCGGAGCCAAUCCCACAAAGCCGAUCGUAGUCCGGAUUGUUCUCUGCAACUCGAGAGCAUGAAGUCGGAAUCGCUAGUAAUCGCAGGUCAGCAUACUGCGGUGAAUACGUUCCCGGGUCUU
rnacentral:rRNA from 1 species